CAAUAGCGUAUAUUAAAGUUGUUGCAGUUAAAAAGCUCGUAGUUGAACUUCGGAACCGGUCGAUUGGUCCGUCCUCUGGAUUGUGUACUGAUCGAUCUGUUCUUCUUCGCGAAGACCGCGUGUGCCCUUAACUGGGUGUGCACGGGAUUCACGACGUUUACUUUGAAAAAUUAGAGUGUUCAAAGCAGGCAUUCGCUUGAAUAUCUCAGCAUGGAAUAAUAGAAUAGGACUUUGGUCUUAUUUUGUUGGUUUCCGAGACCGAAGUAAUGAUUAAUAGGGACAGUUGGGGGCAUUCGUAUUUCAUUGUCAGAGGUGAAAUUCUUGGAUUGUCAUACGACGAACUACUGCGAAAGCAUUUGCCAAGGAUGUUUUCAUUGAUCAAGAACGAAAGUAAGGGGAUCGAAGACGAUCAGAUACCGU
rnacentral:rRNA from 1 species